CGUGCGAAGGUAGCGCAAUCACUUGUUUCUUAAAUGGAGACCUGUAUGAAUGGCAUAACGAGGGCCAACCUGUCUCCUUCUCCCAGUCAAUGAAAUUGAUCUCCCCGUGCAGAAGCGGGGAUAAGCACAUAAGACGAGAAGACCCUUUGGAGCUUUAGACUACAAGCAGACCAUGCUAAUUAGACCUAAUCAAAGGAACUAAGCCAAUUGGAUUCCUGCCCUAAUGUCUUCGGUUGGGGCGACCACGGGGAAACAAAAAACCCCCAUGAGGAGCAGGAGAACUUUUCUCCCAGAACUAAGACCGACAGGUCUAAGUACCAGAAAUUCUGACCAUAAGAUCCGGCCAAGCCGAUCAACGGACCAAGUUACCCUAGGGAUAACAGCGCAAUCCCCUUUUAGAGCCCAUAUCGACAAG
rnacentral:rRNA from 1 species